rnacentral:tRNA from 1 species
AGCAGGGUAGAGGAUUUGGUCAACUCAUUAGGAACAUGACCUGAAGAUUGUAGGUUCGAAUCUUAUCCCCGCCU